rnacentral:rRNA from 1 species
GACGAACGCUGGCGGCGUGCUUAACACAUGCAAGUCGAACGGAAAGGCCCUGCUUUUGUGGGGUGCUCGAGUGGCGAACGGGUGAGUAACACGUGAGUAACCUGCCCUUGACUUUGGGAUAACUUCAGGAAACUGGGGCUAAUACCGGAUAGGAGCUCCUGCUGCAUGGUGGGGGUUGGAAAGUUUCGGCGGUUGGGGAUGGACUCGCGGCUUAUCAGCUGGUUGGUGGGGUAGUGGCUUACCAAGGCUUUGACGGGUAGCCGGCCUGGGAGGGUGACCGGCCACAUUGGGACUGAGAUACGGCCCAGACUCCUACGGGAGGCAGCAGUGGGGAAUAUUGCACAAUGGGCGGAAGCCUGAUGCAGCAACGCCGCGUGCGGGAUGACGGCCUUCGGGUUGUAAACCGCUUUCGCAUGUGACGAAGCGUGAGUGACGGUAAUGGGUAAAGAAGCACCGGCUAACUACGUG